ACGGAAAACCCUGAAGUUACCUCACUAACCGCCAAAUCCUGCUUCCUAGUACAGACCUCACAUCCUGAAGAUUUGCAUCCACAUUUGAAUCUGGUUUUGAAAUCAGAAGAAAUGAGAAGUCGCAGCUGUUCCUCUGAGCCUCGCCCACACCACCGGAAACACCACGAGCUGUCAAAUUAAAACACCAAACAAUACAGGUUCCAGUCAGGGAUUUCAAAGUAAAAGCAUGACGAGUGAG